UACGAAGGGGGCUAGCGUUGUUCGGAAUUACUGGGCGUAAAGCGUGCGCAGGCGGCUUCUCAAGUCAGGGGUGAAAGCCCAGAGCUCAACUCUGGAAUUGCCUUUGAGACUGAGUGGCUUGAGUACGAGAGAGGUGAGUGGAAUUUCCAGUGUAGAGGUGAAAUUCGUAGAUAUUGGGAAGAACACCGGUGGCGAAGGCGGCUCACUGGCUCGUAACUGACGCUGAGGUGCGAAAGCGUGGGGAGCAAACAGG
rnacentral:rRNA from 1 species